rnacentral:rRNA from 2 species
GUCGAACGAACUCUGGUAUUGAUUGGUGCUUGCAUCAUGAUUUACAUUUGAGUGAGUGGCGAACUGGUGAGUAACACGUGGGAAACCUGCCCAGAAGCGGGGGAUAACACCUGGAAACAGAUGCUAAUACCGCAUAACAACUUGGACCGCAUGGUCCGAGUUUGAAAGAUGGCUUCGGCUAUCACUUUUGGAUGGUCCCGCGGCGUAUUAGCUAGAUGGUGGGGUAACGGCUCACCAUGGCAAUGAUACGUAGCCGACCUGAGAGGGUAAUCGGCCACAUUGGGACUGAGACACGGCCCAAACUCCUACGGGAGGCAGCAGUAGGGAAUCUUCCACAAUGGACGAAAGUCUGAUGGAGCAACGCCGCGUGAGUGAAGAAGGGUUUCGGCUCGUAAAACUCUGUUGUUAAAGAAGAACAUAUCUGAGAGUAACUGUUCAGGUAUUGACGGUAUUUAACCAGAAAGCCACGGCUAACUACGUGCCAGCAGCCGCGGUAAUACGUAGGUGGCAAGCGUUGUCCGGAUUUAUUGGGCGUAAAGCGAGCGCAGGCGGUUUUUUAAGUCUGAUGUGAAAGCCUUCGGCUCAACCGAAGAAGUGCAUCGGAAACUGGGAAACUUGAGUGCAGAAGAGGACAGUGGAACUCCAUGUGUAGCGGUGAAAUGCGUAGAUAUAUGGAAGAACACCAGUGGCGAAGGCGGCUGUCUGGUCUGUAACUGACGCUGAGGCUCGAAAGUAUGGGUAGCAAACAGGAUUAGAUACCCUGGUAGUCCAUACCGUAAACGAUGAAUGCUAAGUGUUGGAGGGUUUCCGCCCUUCAGUGCUGCAGCUAACGCAUUAAGCAUUCCGCCUGGGGAGUACGGCCGCAAGGCUGAAACUCAAAGGAAUUGACGGGGGCCCGCACAAGCGGUGGAGCAUGUGGUUUAAUUCGAAGCUACGCGAAGAACCUUACCAGGUCUUGACAUACUAUGCAAAUCUAAGAGAUUAGACGUUCCCUUCGGGGACAUGGAUACAGGUGGUGCAUGGUUGUCGUCAGCUCGUGUCGUGAGAUGUUGGGUUAAGUCCCGCAACGAGCGCAACCCUUAUUAUCAGUUGCCAGCAUUAAGUUGGGCACUCUGGUGAGACUGCCGGUGACAAACCGGAGGAAGGUGGGGAUGACGUCAAAUCAUCAUGCCCCUUAUGACCUGGGCUACACACGUGCUACAAUGGAUGGUACAACGAGUUGCGAACUCGCGAGAGUAAGCUAAUCUCUUAAAGCCAUUCUCAGUUCGGAUUGUAGGCUGCAACUCGCCUACAUGAAGUCGGAAUCGCUAGUAAUCGCGGAUCAGCAUGCCGCGGUGAAUACGUUCCCGGGCCUUGUACACACCGCCCGUCACACCAUGAGAGUUUGAACACCCAAAGUCGGUG